rnacentral:lncRNA from 1 species
UUCAUAUUUCCAAGAAUUCUAAGAGACUACUCUUAAGUAUGACCUUAAGAUACGAGUCACCUUUUUGUCACACCAUCAAUUUAUUCUUUUUGGUUUGAAGAAAAAAAUCAUCCUAGUAUGGUGAUUGUGGUUCAUCACAUUUCCACCGCGCUACUUUGAUGAGAAACAUAUUGAAAUUUAUGAAUAGUUGGAUGUGAGGAUAGCUCCUAAGGCUAUAUACCCCUCACCUAUGGAAUUUUC